rnacentral:lncRNA from 1 species
UGGAAGCCGAGGUGGCAGCAGGAAGCUGGUAGGAGGAACUGGCCCCGCAGGCCGAGAGGACUCGUCCAGGAAAUGCUCUGGUUGGCCUCGGCUUUCUGCGCACGGAGCUGGGCCUCGACGCAGGGUUGCAACUAAGGCGUUCCUGGGCUAGGCGACCCCGGGCGUGGGCGCUCCGGCUGCUACUGCGGUUCCUGCUGUGCUCAGCUGGGCCGCGGCUGGAACCAGCGCCGGUCAGAGGCGCAGGAGCAGCCCUCCAGGCGGGAGGAGGCGAUAGCCAUGCAUGGUUCCUGAAAAUCUGGCCCUGCUGACAAAUCUCAGACGCCAGGAACAGAAGAACCAGGAGAAACUGCCUAGAGCUUGAGCCAAAUGGACGGACUGUUGGAGCGGCUGAGGGUGAAGCUGCCCGAACUCCUCAAAGUGGAGCAGCAAAGCAACCACCAGAGAUGGACAAGAAAAAUCAAAGUCAAAGAAAAUUAGUAGA